GUGGGGAAUCUUCCACAAUGGACGAAAGUCUGAUGGAGCAACGCCGCGUGAGUGAAGAAGGGUUUCGGCUCGUAAAGCUCUGUUGUCGGGGACGAAUGUGCAGUAUUUGAAUAAAGUACUGUAAUGACGGUACCUGACGAGGAAGCCACGGCUAACUACGUGCCAGCAGCCGCGGUAAUACGUAGGUGGCAAGCGUUGUCCGGAAUUAUUGGGCGUAAAGGGAGCGCAGGCGGGAAGGUAAGGCGGUCUUAAAAGUGCGGGGCUCAACCCCGUGAUGGGAUCGAAACUAUCUUUCUUGAGUGCAGGAGAGGAAAGUGGAAUUCCUAGUGUAGCGGUGAAAUGCGUAGAUAUUAGGAGGAACACCAGUGGCGAAGGCGACUUUCUGGACUGUAACUGACGCUGAGGCUCGAAAGCCAGGGGAGCGAACGGGAUUAGAUACCCCAGUAGUCC
rnacentral:rRNA from 1 species